rnacentral:rRNA from 1 species
GUCCUUUAGAUAUUAAUUUAAGGUCUAACCUGCCCACUGAAUUAUUUUAAAUGGCCGCAGUAAUUUGACUGUGCAAAGGUAGCAUAAUCAUUAGUUUUUUAAUUAAAAGCUUGUAUGAAAGGUUGGACGAAGUAAAAUCUGUCUCUAAUUAAUUUAAUUUAGAAUUUAACUUUUAAGUUAAAAGGCUUAAAUUUAACUAAAAGACGAGAAGACCCUAUAGAUCUUUAUAUUUUAAUUGAUAAAUUUAAUUAAGAAUUUUUAAAAUUUUAUUAAUUUAAUUAUUUUAUUGGGGUAAUAUAAAGAUUAAAAUAAUUCUUUUUUUUUAUUAACAUUGAUUUAUGAUUUUGAUGAUCCAAUUAUAUUGAUUUUAAGAUUAAGUUACCUUAGGGAUAACAGCGUAAUUUUUUUAGAGAGUUCUUAUCGAUAAAAAAGUUUGCGACCUCGAUGUUGGAUUAAAGAUUAUUUUAGGUGUAGAAGCUUAAAAAUUUUGGUCUGUUCGACCAUUAAAUCUUUACAUGAUCUGAGUUCAGACCGGUGUAAGCCAGGUCGGUUUCUAUCUUUAGUAAAUUAAAAUAUUUUAGUACGAAAGGACCAAUUAUUUAAUAUAAAUAUUUAUAUUUUGAUUAUUAUUAA